rnacentral:lncRNA from 1 species
CUCGCAGUCUCCUCAUCCUUCAUUUUGAAGGCUUCUUCCGCUCGGGCAUACCCUUCGGCCCGAGCCAACAGAUCAGCAAAAUCCCUGGGGUACUUCUUCUCCAGGAAGAACAAAAGGUCAUUCUUCUGAAGGCCGCCCUUCAGAGCGGCCAUUGCUACCGACUGGUCCAAGUUUCGGACCUCCAGCGCAGCGACAUUGAAACGAUUGAUGUAGGCCCGAAUGGACUCCCCCUCCCUCUGCUUGAUAUUGAUGAGGGACUCCGAACCCUUCCGGGGGC